UACGUAGGUGGCGAGCGUUGUCCGGAAUCAUUGGGCGUAAAGGGAGCGCAGGCGGGACGGUAAGUCCAUCUUAAAAGUUCGGGGCUCAACCCCGUGAUGGGAUGGAAACUAUCGUUCUUGAGUACCGGAGAGGAAAGCGGAAUUCCCAGUGUAGCGGUGAAAUGCGUAGAUAUUGGGAGGAACACCAGUGGCGAAGGCGGCUUUCUGGACGGCAACUGACGCUGAGGCUCGAAAGCCAGGGGAGC
rnacentral:rRNA from 1 species